rnacentral:rRNA from 1 species
GAUGAACGCUGGCGGCGUGCCUAACACAUGCAAGUCGAGCGGACCUGAUUAAGUGAAUAGCUUGCUAUGAACUUAUGACUGGUUAGCGGCGGACGGGUGAGUAACGCGUGGGUAACCUGCCUCAUACAGGGGGAUAGCAGUUGGAAACGACUGGUAAUACCGCAUAAGCGCACAGUACCGCAUGGUACGGUGUGAAAAACUCCGGUGGUAUGAGAUGGACCCGCGUCCGAUUAGCCAGUUGGCGGGGUAACGGCCCACCAAAGCGACGAUCGGUAGCCGGCCUGAGAGGGCGGACGGCCACAUUGGGACUGAGACACGGCCCAGACUCC